CUGUUGCGUUUAACCGAUGUUCGACAUGAAACGCAGUAAUUCAAAACAGCUAUUCGAUUCACUUUUGUUUAACAAACAAGUUUUAAAUACUCGUAUAUUAUAUCUAUAUAUUAAUACGUGAAGCAAAAACUUUGUAUCUCUUUUUACGAAAAUUGCGCGGACGGAGGAAUAUGAAAUUUUCCACACUUAUAGAGAAUAUAGAGAAGAAGUGCACCAUGCUAAUAUUUUUUUAAAAUAAUGCAUAAAAGAUACAUUAAAUCAAUAAAGAAAACAUUACACACACUACAUACCAUGUAGGGUAAGUCCGGGGUAGAUGGCCAUAUGGGAGAGACGGCCUAUCAAAAUAUUUCAAGGUAUCGUUCACUAAAUGUCACUGGUUAACGUUUAGUUUUCUGCGCGACAUGCGUGAGGGCAACGGUGCGACAAAAUAUUUGGCGAAAAAAGAAGAAAAAAGCCCUAUAAUCGUGUUCACAAAAUCAUGCAUUAAAAAUGCCACGAUGUCUAAUGUUUCACACCCGAGUGCUCCGAAAGAGGCUUCGUUCAGUAAGAAUCCAGAUUACACCCCAUCUCGAAUUCUACAGGAUAUAUCAACCAGUCCACAAAAACUGACUCAAGUGUGUAAAUGAGCAAAGCAAGUUGGAACACUUUUUAAUUCGAAAGAACACAUCUAGAACUAGAAAAACUGCUGCAGAAAAAAGUAUAAAAAAGAAAAAGUAAUAAAAUGUGUCAAAACAAAGAAGGAAAAAACAGACAAUAGAAGGACUGUUCAAUGUAUAAAAAAAAAGGUAUUCGAAAACUAUCUGAGAUUAGUGAUAUGAUAAUCCAUUAAAAAUAUUGUCAGAUAAAAAUGAGAAAAGAAAGUGACACGAAAAGGACAACUGUCGUGGGUGUGGUAAAAAUUACUAGGAAACACUUCUCAUUGAAGAGUGGCUUCAAUAUACAGUGUCAGUAUUGAGUUCACGAACACUAUACUGAAUUUGAAACGACGUGCUCCGGAUGUGACGAAGAGGGGAAAACAAUACUUAAAAGUAGAAAAUGAGAACAAAAGGCAAUUAUAAGUCUAGAAUUAAGCUAUGGUCAUUUUACCUCUAAUACUAUGGCCAUCACACCCGGACACCUUGGGAGAGAUGGCCAAUUGUGAUUUAAGAAAAACUUCAAUUUAUAAGGUGAUCUCAUUAGAAAUUGUUACUUUUUGGUUUAUAAUAUCAUAGUCGAUUCUUCAAAGUUUAAUGAAAAAUAAAUAUAAUUAAAAAAACAAA